GCGAGUCAUAUGUUCUUCGUGAACAUGGCGUACUGCUCAGUAACACGUGGAUAACCUGCCCUUGGGUCCGGCAUAACCCCGGGAAACUGGGGAUAAUUCCGGAUAACGCAUAUAUGCUGGAAUGCUUUAUGCGUAAAAUGGAUUCGUCUGCCCAAGGAUGGGUCUGCGGCCUAUCAGGUAGUAGUGGGUGUAAUGUACCUACUAGCCAACGACGGGUACGGGUUGUGAGAGCAAGAGCCCGGAGAUGGAUUCUGAGACAUGAAUCCAGGCCCUACGGGGCGCAGCAGGCGCGAAAACUUUACAAUGCGGGAAACCGUGAUAAGGGGACACCGAGUGCCAGCAUCAUAUGCUGGCUGUCCAGAUGUGUAAAAUACAUCUGUUGGCAAGGGCCGGGCAAGACCGGUGCCAGCCGCCGCGGUAACACCGGCGGCCCGAGUGGUGAUCGUGAUUAUUGGGUCUAAAGGGUCCGUAGCCGGUUUGGUCAGUCCUCCGGGAAAUCUGACGGCUUAACCGUUAGGCUUUCGGGGGAUACUGCCAGGCUUGGGACCGGGAGAGGUAAGAGGUACUACAGGGGUAGGAGUGAAAUCUUGUAAUCCCUGUGGGACCACCUGUGGCGAAGGCGUCUUACCAGAACGGGUUCGACGGUGAGGGACGAAAGCUGGGGGCACGAACCGGAUUAGAUACCCGGGUAGUCCCAGCCGUAAACGAUGCUCGCUAGGUGUCAGGCAUGGCGCGACCGUGUCUGGUGCCGCAGGGAAGCCGUGAAGCGAGCCACCUGAGAAGUACGGCCGCAAGGCUGAAACUUAAAGGAAUUGGCGGGGGAGCACAACAACGGGUGGAGCCUGCGGUUUAAUUGGAUUCAACGCCGGG
rnacentral:rRNA from 1 species